GUUGCCCUAUCUGUUCGAAGCAGCUUGGUAGGAUAGGGCGGUGCCAUCGAUGACUCAGGCGGCGGCGGCGGCUGAGUGGUCGGCGAGGAUGGCCGCUCGGGCGAGGAGGCGGAGCCGAUGACCCCGGCGGCGGCGGCGGAGGGGUCCCAGGGGCUGGAGGACAAACAUCUAAUGCGGUCGCGGCUUCUCGCCGUCAAGAGCUAGAUCGAGCGCACGGCGGUGGUAACCGUCCAAAGGAAGAGGAAGAGCAACCUGCACCAGUUCGGCGGCCAUAGCCGUCCAAGAGGCAGUUGACCGCCGAGGCAUCUCUAGUUCUCAUACAGCGCGGGUUUGACGGCCACUCCAGGACCGGUCGUCCCAGCGAUAGGUGGAGGAGUUCAGCUAAAGGAGCCGGAGUACAGAGGAACAGGCCAAACAACUGAUGAACUUGUGACCUCAGUGUUUACACAAGGGAAUAAACAACUCACAAGCUGGCUGAGUUUCUUAUACAUGCAUUUCUCCUAGGUGAUAGCUGCGGAUCGUAGGUAUGAAAAAAGAUAGCUGCUGUCAAGAACUCCAAUGGCAUUGACAUAGCCAAGUUGAUGAAGCACUCGGCAGAGAACCGCGGGAUCAAGGGCUCCCACGGAGCCGAUGCCGUCGACCCGACCUCGCUGCUCACGGAAGAUUGCGACGUGCUCCUCCCGGCAGCUCUGGGAGGAGUGAUAAACAAGGACAAUGCUGAUGCCAUCAAAGCAGAGUACAUCAUCGAGGCUUCUAACCACCCAACAGACCCCGAGGCCGACGAGAUUCUGGCAAAGAAGGGCAUGCUGAUCCUACCGGACAUCUUGGCCAACUCCGGCGGAGUGGUGAGCUACUUCGAGUGGGUGCAGAACAUCCAGGGGUUCAUGUGGGACGAGGAGAAGGAGAGGCUGGCAUUUGACAAUACAAUUGUGUGUGUGCGUUGGCAGAUGCUGCUGCAGCCUGUAGUUUUUCUUGUGGAGUUGACCGUAGUAAUCCAUCAAACUAGCUGAAUUAUUGAUUCUGUUCCUUUUGUUGGGAGGUGAGGAAUCAUAUAGCUGGAUAUACAUACCCGUCCUCUGUUGUGGUAUGUUAGUAUAGCAUGUGGUUUUCCACUGGCUAGCAGCACCAACAUAAUACGCCGGGCCCUCCAAGACCAGUUUUACUGCAGACGACCUUUUGGUGGUCAGGAUCUAAUCUGUCGAUCGUGUCCGCGAACCUUGAAGGCGUUCUCACCGUCUUGCGAAUGGGUGGAUGAAGAGGAAGCAGUACCGUUGUAUCGCACAGGCUAGGUGGUGGUGGCACAGGCCAAGCGGCGGCGAGUCAGGCCCUGUUGACGUACGGUUGUUGCUGGGCGCUCCGAUUUUUAUUGUCCAGCUGUGCUAAUUCAUGUACCUGCGGGCGGUACCCAGGACGCCAAAUAAAUGAACAUUCCAACAUAAUCAUGUACGAGCCUGUUUAAACAAACUUACCGAUAUUCUUGGUUUUUAUUUCUA